GUUUUAAUAGUUUAAAAGAAAAUAAUGAUCUUGUAAAUCAUAGUUAGUUAUAUACUUUAAAACU
rnacentral:tRNA from 1 species